AGAUGAUGCUUGGAUUGAACUUGGUGGCUUCAAUUGUCUCUGCUUGAUGUAAGUGUGAGGCUAUGUCCUAGAUAAAUACAACAACAGCAGGAGGUAUUCCUGAAAGACACAUUCACCAGUAAUGGGGUUAUGUUAAAUUAAUCAUAGGUAGUGUUCUUAGUGUGUGCCCUCUGCAUUCGUGUACCCUCCUGACAUCCUUAAUAAGCAUCUGCUAUUCCUUAACAGCUUUAUUGAGGUAUAAUUUACAUACCAUCACAUUUACUGUUUUAACUUUGCAAUUGAAUGAAUUUUAGUAAAUUUACACAGUUGUUCGGACAUCACUACAAUCUAGUUUUAGAACAAUUCCAUCUCUCCCAAGUGAUCCCUCAUGCCCAUUUGCAGAUCAUCUGCAUUCCCACCCACUGCUGUGGGCAACUACAAUUCUAUACUCUAUUGCUAGAGAUUUGUCUUUUCUGGACAUUUCGUAUCAAUGGAAUUUUACAAUUUGUGGUCUUUUGUAUCUGGUUGCUUUCACUUAGUAUGGUUUUGAGGUGCAUCCGUGUAGUAGCAUGCAUCAAUAUGCAUUCAAUAUGCAUUUGCUUUUUUUUUUUUUUUUGCUGAAUAGCAUUUUAUUGUACGGAUAGACCACAUUUUGUAUAUUCUUUUACCAGUCGAUGGACAUUUAGAUUUUUUUCCACUUUGUUGCUGUUAUGAAUAAUGCUGCCGUGAACACUUGUGUACAUGUCUUUGUGUGGACAUAUGUUUUCAUUUCUCUUGGGCAGACAUCUAGGAGUGGAAUUGCUGGAUCAUAUGGUAAAUUUAUGUUUUUAAGAAACUACUGAACUAUUUUCCAAAGUGGCUGUAACAUUUAACAUUUCUACCAGCAAUGUAUUGAGGGUUCCAGUUUAUUUACAUCCUUACCAACAUCUGUUAUUUCUGUCUUUUUUAUUAUAGCCAUUCUAGUGGGUAUGAAGUGGUAUCUCAUUGUGGUUUUAAUUUGUAUUUCCCCAGUGAUUAAUGAUGUUAAGCAGUUUUUUAUGUGCUUAUUAGCUAUUUGUAUAUCUUCUUUGGUGAAAUGUCUUUUGAAGAUUUUUUGCCCAUUUUUGAAAAUGUAGAUUUAAUUUUUAGAGCAGCUUUAGGCUCACAAGAGAUUGAACAGAAAGUACAGAGGUCCCAUAUAUGACCCUGCUCCUGACAAAGGCACAGCCUCCCCCAGUAUUGAUAUCUCACACCAGCCAGAGUGGCCCAUUUGUUACAACUGAUGGACCUCCAUUGACACAUCAUUACCACCCGAAGUUUAUAAUUAACACUAAGAUUCACUCUUAGUGCAGUACAUGUUAUGGGUUUGAACACAUGUAUAAUGACUUGCAUCUACCACGUAGUAUCAAAGAGGAUAGAUUCACUGCCCUAAAAAUCCUCUGUGCCCUACUUUUCAUCUCUUCCUCCCCACAAACCCUGGCAACCACUAAUCUUUGUAUUAUUUCUAUAAUGUUGUCUUUUCCAGAAUAUCAUCUAGUUGGAAUCAUAUAGUAUGUGUAGCCUUUUCAGAUUGGCUUCUUUCACUUGGUAAUAAGCAUUUCAGUUUCCUCUAUGCCUUUUAUGGCUUAAUAGCUCAGUUCUUUUUAACACCAAAUAAUAUUCCAGUUGUCUGGAUGUACCACAGGUUAUUUUUCCAUUCACCUGCUGAAGGUCAUCUUGGUUGCUUCCAAGUGUUGGCAACCGUGAAUGAAAAUACUAUAAACAUCUGUGUGCAGGUUUUUGUGUGGACCUACAUUUUUAACUCAUUUGGAUAAAUACCAAGGAGAAUAACUGCUGGAACAUAUAGUGAGAGUAUGUUUCUUUUCUUUUUUUUUUUUUUUUAACUGCCACACUGUCUUCCAAGUGGCUGUGCCAUUUUGCCUUCCCAGCAGCAGUGAAUGAGAGGGCCUGUUGCUCCACAUCCUUGCCAGCAUUUGCUCUUGUCCUGUGUUCUGGAUUUUGGUCAUUAUAAUAAGUAUGUAGUGGUAUCUUAUUGUUGUUUUAAUUUGAAAUUCUCUCAUGACAAGCAUUUUUUCAUAUGCAUAUUUGACAUGCUUGUAUAUCUUUGGUGGUGUCUUUUGCUCUUUUUUUUUUUUUUUUAAGACGGAGUCUUGCUCUAUGGCCCAAGCUGGAAGCUGGAGUGCAGUGGUGUCACCCCGGCUCACUGCAAGCUCCGACUCCGGUGUUCAUGCCAUUCCUCCAGAGUAGCUGGGACUACAGGCACCCGCCACCAUGCCCAGCUAUUUUUUGUAUUUUUAGUAGACACAG
rnacentral:lncRNA from 10 species